AUCUACAGCCACGCCACCCUGAACAAGCCCCGAUCCCGUCUGAUCUCAGAAGCUAAUAAGCAGGGUCAGGCCUAGUUAGUACUUGGAUGGGAGACCACCUAGGAAGACCAGGUGAUGUAGGCA
ensembl:rRNA 5S_rRNA 5S ribosomal RNA